GAUCAUGGCUCAGGAUGAACGCUAGCUACAGGCUUAACACAUGCAAGUCGAGGGGCAGCAUUCCAGUUUGCUUGCAAACUGGAGAUGGCGACCGGCGCACGGGUGAGUAACACGUAUCCAACCUGCCGAUAACUCGGGGAUAGCCUUUCGAAAGAAAGAUUAAUACCCGAUGGCAUAAUAGAACCGCAUGGUUUGAUUAAUUAAAAGUAAAGUUUUCGGUUUAUUCGAGUGGGGUAGUGCGUUCCAUUAGGCG
rnacentral:rRNA from 1 species